GAUGAACGCUGGCGGCGUGCCUAAUACAUGCAAGUCGAGCGAAUAGACGAGGAUUUUGCUUCUCUGACGUUAGCGGCGGACGGGUGAGUAACACGUGGAUAACUUACCUUUAAGACUGGGAUAAGUUCGGGAAAGCGGAUCUAAUACCGGAUAAUAUAGUGAACCGCAUGGUUCAUUAGUGAAAGACGGUUUUGCUGUCACUUAUAGAUGGUUCCUCGCCGCAUUAGCUAGUUGGUAGGGUAACGGCUUACCAAGGCAACGAUGCGUAGCCGACCUGAGAGGGUGAUCGGCCACACUGGAACUGAGACACGGUCCAGACUCCUACGGGAGGCAGCAGUAGGGAAUCUUCCGCAAUGGGCGAAAGCUUGACGGAGCAACGCCGCGUGAGUGAUGAAGGUCUUCGGAUCGUAAAACUCUGUUAUUAGGGAAGAACAAAUGUGUAAGUAACUAUGCACGUCUUGACGGUACCUAAUCAGAAAGCCACGGCUAACUACGUG
rnacentral:rRNA from 1 species